rnacentral:rRNA from 1 species
UACGAAGGGGACUAGCGUUGUUCGGAAUCACUGGGCGUAAAGGGCUCGUAGGCGGCCAACUAAGUCGGAUGUGAAAUCCCCGGGCUCAACCCGGGAACUGCGUCCGAUACUGGCAGGCUUGAAUUCGGGAGAGGGAUGCGGAAUUCCAGGUGUAGCGGUGAAAUGCGUAGAUAUCUGGAGGAACACCGGUGGCGAAGGCGGCAUCCUGGACCGAAAUUGACGCUGAGGCGCGAAAGCCAGGGGAGCAAACGGG